CACCUCUUCCCAUCCUAUUUUCUUCUUCAGUAUCAACACACAAAUUAGGGAGAUAGAGAGGAGCAGGAGAGAGACAAAGGUUUAGACAGGUAGAGAGAGCUGAGCGACGGUGAUGGAGGAACGGGUGGUGCUCUCCGUCCGGCCAUCGACCGGUGGUGAUGGUCCCCUCUUCUGCGAACACACUUGCCAGGGAUCCAAAAACCCACCGCCCCUUCUCAAUGACAUCUCAUUUCCACCCGCUCCGGUUUACUUUUCCCUCCGCCACCGCAACCGUCGUACGUUCACCGGCAAAUCGAUUAGAAGCCGUUUUAAACAGAUCGGUUGAAGAUUUCAUCGUGAUUUUCAUUCGUAAAAGGCUUAAGCGAUAGUUACAGAUCUGAUUCUGAAUAGGGGUUGGCCGUUGAUGACGAAGUUGACGGUGGAUUUGAGGUAACAGUGAGGGUUUACAACUGAUUCGAGGUUAUUUGAUUUAUUCGGUGUGCUUCGAUUUUGAUUAUUACGGGUGGUAUGCAGAAUAACAUCCCCUUUAAAAUAACAUAAAUAUCUAAGAGUUCCCUCCAAGAUAACCUCACAUGUUAACAGGUUAUACCAAACAGUAUAUAACAUCCCCACGAUGGUAAUGUCUGUCAAAACUGCAGGUCUUUCAAUUUGUCUGACCUUAGUACCUGAAGACAACCGUAUGUUUGUUUAUUCAUGUAUAACUUGUGAAUAUGAAGGAAUUGUGUGGAUGAUUUUGCUAUGACCAAUAAUAAAUUACUCAUAUGCAUGUUAUCUCAUAUAAUAGGUCUUUGUUGGAAGAUAUGAGGCAUGACAAAAUCCACUUCUGCUUGGUGCCUGGUGCACACGAGGCUGUGAUGAGUUAUCAAAAUUCGGUCACUAUGUUUCCAUGGCGUGGCAGCUAUGGAGGAUGGCAGGUUGUCGCCUGCAACCCCUACUGCAGCCAUGGUGGCUUCAUACUUUUGCUUUCUCUGAGCCUCAUGAAUCGAUUAAAUGUUGCCUUUGAGGUUGGCAAUGGUGAUUUGGAGGGAAAAAAUGUCGGCUGCAGAGGCGAUUCACCGUUUGGGUGUUGUCGGUCGGGUUCUUGGUACUUGAACAUUAAGUAAAUUAAUGGUUUUAGAACAAAGAAUUAUGGAAGGUGGUCUAUGAUAUAUUUUUGAUUAAUGUAAAUUGAUUGUUAGAAACUUACAGUUACAGCUAUGAACUAUAAAUUUAUCAUUAUUGUUUGGUUUAGUUCUCAUAUGUUUUAUAUGUGUUGGCAUUUAAAUCGUUGUUUUGUAUAAUCUGAUUGAGUGGAUCAACAUCUAAUACAAUAAGGUGAGCGACGGAUAGUUUCUUUCACGCGCUGUGCUUUUGGAUCUGGAGCCUGGAACGAUGGACAGUAUCAUAUCUGCCCUGUACGAUAUGAUCUUCAAGCCUGGUAACUUUGUGUUUGGUGUUAAGUUUUGUAAACAAUUAUAAAGACUUUAGUGGGAGACCACAAUACAUUGAGCGGGUUAGAAACUCCGGAGUUCAGCCCAGAAAUGACUAAUGAGGACGAUUUCUACACAAAUAUGGUAGUCACAGGGUAUUACAAGAACCAUGUUUAAAGAGUUAUUACAAGAGUAAAUACAAUCGCCAAAUUCCCUUGCAAAAACGAAAACACAAUCAUAGCAUGGGAACUCAUCAACGACCCCCCUGCCAACUAGAUUACUCGGGACGAAUGGUUAAUGCUUGGUACAAGAAAAAGAAAUGGCUACGUUUGUUAAAUCAUUGGAAUUCAAAAAUACCCAUGUUCGUGGUAAGAAGAAAUACAAAACUCGAGCAAUUCUCAGGUUGCUGCAAUUCGGGUUCACUUUCAAUAUUGAUCAUUCAUUCCCGGAUGAUAGAGUUGACUUCCUCUGGUAGCUCAUCAUGGGGGCAAUGGCAUGAAUAAGACAAAACGAAUGCCAUAACUAAUACUUAAAGAUCAAAUGCAGUAGAGUGCCUUAUUGCUCUACCAAACCAGUUACAGUGACAAUAACUGAUGAAUGCCCGUGUGGAUGCAACGAUGUUCCCUUCCAUUUUGACCUAAGCGGAACAGCUUUUGGUGCCAUGGCAAAUCUAGGACAAGCUAUGAAUCUUCGUAAGGUUGAUAUUCAAAUUCGAAGGUAUACACAUCAUCAAUUUUAACAUGUAUCACCACUAGAAAACUAGCAUGUUCUUCAUGUUUGUUUAUAGUUAUAUACGCAUAUGACAGAAGGUUUUCCUCUAUUGAAAGACAUGCAUAUUUAUUUUAA